GGAGGUCUUCAAGCAUUUUAAAAGGAAGCUAACACCACAGAUUGGAAAACUUUACAUCUUCGGGCUUCAGCGACUGGUUUGGAGCCAGCCAGAGAAACCUCACCACUAAGUGUCGAGUUGAAGGGAAAUACAAUACAUCACCUUCCUCGUGGGCUGCCAUUCAGCCAGGAGUAACAGAGAUUAGCCUUCAAUCACACGGGGGCCAGAGCUGAAGGAAACCUUCCCGAGGACACGCCGGAGAAACAUUUUCAUUAGCGGAGGAGAAGCUGACGGAGAUGGAGUGGCCCUUCACCUCAGCUGCCAGACCUCUCGCCUGCCUGGCGUUAACAGGACGGGGAGAUGCUAAUGGAGGAGCUGGUGCCAGCUGCAGGUCUUUAAGCGCUGUCUGCAUCCAGAUACCGUUCUCUCUCAGGGGCUGCCUGUGGUGCUGCAUUAACGUCCCACCUCUGUGGUGAAGAAACAAUGAUGAUAUAACAGAGACCAAAAUGAAAUCCUCCUUGGAGUUGCCAAGAAUGAUGGAUAACUGCAGGAAAAUAUUAUUCUAUGGCUCUGGAAAAGGAAGAUCUACUUGCUUAGUAACCUGGUAAUGAGGUAGUGGCUCUACUCCGUGCAGAGACUGGAAGCCGGGGGAGAUUUGGGGUUACAAAGAGGGCUGGGCAGAGUUUGCUGCCCUUUCAGCUCCUUUCCCCUAUCACUGUCAACUUAGAUUUCACAUCAAGAGGGUGAUGUUAUGCCUGGCGGUGACAACAGCAGAAUGUCACUGGCAGAGGUGAAAUCUUUCCCUCCGUGAGGGUAAUUCUUCCUUUCCCGUCCCCUUGGCUUAUGUCAAGAACCUCUGGCUCCUGGUGCCCAGUGGGCCAUGCACACAUGGUGCUGAGGGGACAGCACAUUCUGUGCUGAGCCUCACUUUUCUUGCUGUCUUGGUAAGCAGCUCUGUGUCACUGAUGGCUCUUGGCUGCGUGGUGACCCGGGACAAAGGGAAACCCCUUGUCACUGUCUGAGAGAAGCCAGGGCCACGGGAAGCUGCCGUGUUUGCCAUCAUGGCAGUGCUGCUCAGAGUGCUCCUCUGCCGUGCUGGCACACUUAUAUCAUCAGCAGUUUUGCCAGGGAUGUCCCUUCAGAGACCAUUUGUGCUCUUCAGGGGCCAGGUCUGAGCUAGGUCAGGGUCUGAGGGGCAGACUUACACAUGGUAAUGGGUAAUGUCCCCCACAGGCUGUCUC